UCCCCAGACACACAGUCCUAGUUAUAGGACCGGAUCCCCAGACACACAGUCCUAGUUAUAGGACCGGAUCCCCAGACACACAGUCCUAGUUAUAGGGCCGGAUCCCCAGACUCACAGUCCUAGUUAUAGGGCCGGAUCCCCAGACACACAGUCCUAGUUAUAGGACUGGAUCCCCAGACACACAGUCCUAGUUAUAGGGCCGGAUCCCCAGACACACAGUCCUAGUUAUAGGACCGGAUCCCCAGACACACAGUCCUUGUCGAGGAGAAGUUCCAUUGAAAAAGUGUUUUAGGUGCAGGUAACCUAGUGAUUAGAACAUUGGACUAGUAACCUAAAGGUUGCUGGAUCGAAUCCCAGAGUUGACCAGGUAAAAAUCUCUCGUUCUGCCCUUGAACAAGGCGGUUAACCCACUGUUUCCCGGUAGGCCGUCAUUGUAAAUAAGAAUUUGUUCUUAACUGACUUGCCUAGUUAAACAAAUUGAAAUUGUCCAGAAUUAGGCUUAAUCUGUAUCUGGGAAACAGGCCCAACAGGUAGAUUUAUGUGUUGUACCCAUAGAGUUAGGUAGAUUUAUGUGUUGUACCCAUAGAGUUAGGUAGAUUUAUGUGUUGUACCCAUAGAGUUAGGUAGAUUUAUGUGUUGUACCCAUAGAGUUAGGUAGAUGUAUGUGUUGAGCCCAUAGAGUUAGGUAGAUGUAUGUGUUGAGCCCCAUAGAGUUAGGUAGAUGUUUGUGUUGAGCCCAUAGAGUUAGGUAGGUUUAUGUGUUGAGCCCCAUAGAGUUAGGUAGAUGUAUGUGUUGUGCCCCAGGCAACAUUUUCUAUUUCAUUAAGGGACUUUUUCUUUUCAUUUGUGGUCCACCACCUUCACUCCUUCCGGGAUAUGUGCAAUAUGGUAUCUUAUUACCUGUCAUGAUGUGGAUAUGAAUAUGUAAUAUUGUAUGAACAAGUGACACGUUGUUUGAAAACAACAAAAUUACCAACGUCUUCCAUUAAGAAAUAUUUAUAGUCUUUAUAUGCAUUAGCUUGUUUAGAGGGACUGUGGUGCCAAUAUUAUAACUAACCAUGCAUGAAGGGUUGCUGGUGUUGCUUGCUUUAUGAAUAACCAAAAGGUUGCGAGGUCAAAUCCCCGAGCUGACAAGGUACAAAUCUGUUGUUCUGCCCCCUGAACAAGGCAGUUAACCCACUGUUCCUAGGCCGUCAUUGUAAAAUAACAAUUUGUUUCUCAACUGACUUGCGUAGUUAAAAAAAAUAAGGAAACAUUGUUUUCUAAAAACAGAACAUGUUUGGGAGAUUUGAUUAAAUUGUUAAAUUCUAUUCAGAGUGAAUUUCACCACAGAUAUACAGUUAUCUAAACGGUAUUUUAUGGAAUUAACACCUUUAGAAGCAGACAUAUUGACAUCCAGUGUGUUUACACAGGCAGCCCAAUUCUGAUCUUUUUUUUCCACUAAUUGGUCUUUUUGACCAAUCAGAUCGGCUCUUUUGCCACUAAUUGGUAUUUUUGGCCAAUCAGAUCUUCUCUUUUGCCAAUAAUUAGACAACAUAUUAGAGUUGUGCUUCCUGUGGAAACAGCCUUGAUCAAUAAAAUAACGAUCUAGAAUAUGAGAAUAUAUUUAGUUAAAAAGCAAGGCAUCUAGACAUUUCAGAAGAAAAUAAAAAAAUUCUGCACGAUUUUUCAGUUUAUUUGAUCUAUUGUAAUCUCUGUUUUUAAAGGAAUGUUUAGCAUAUUAGUAGCUAUAUAAUUUAAUGUUUUUUUUUUGUUUAGAGGGAAGACUAUGGUGUAUACUGUGGUUUAGGAGGAUGUAUGUUCCUCAUAUGAAACACCCAACGGUGCGUGAAGUACCACAUGUUGAAACAGAACGACUGACAUUUGAAUUGGCAAAACGGUCUUCUGGGGAAAUUCAAUGUUCAAGCUACGUUCCCUAUGGUACUAGUGCACUACUUUUUGACCGGGGAGGGGGGCAUAGGGCUCUGGUACAAAGUAGUGCACUAUGUAGGGAAUAGGGUGUCAUUUUUGGAAGUAGCCUCGGACUCGUACAGCAUCAUUCUGUAAGAACUAAGAACCCACUGAUUUAGGAGGCCUGUGUUGAUGCCUCUUUUCACGGUUUACAUUCUGUUCAAAUGUUGCACCGUUGUCCAUAUCAAUCGAACUAUGUAUGCAUGUGAAUUAUUAUGCAUCCUUCCUAUUUAAUUGAACGUAAUAGAGCUGCCUCAAGGAGAAACGACUGAGCAAAAAAAUAUAUAUAAUAAUAAUUAUGCUGUAACCCUUUCUUGACAUGUGUGAUCUAAUUCACUUCCUGUGUGAACUAAUUCACUUCCUGUGUGAACUAAUUCACUUCCUGUGUGAACUAAUUCACUUCCUGUGUGAACUAAUUCACUUCCUGUGUGAACUAAUUCACUUCCUGUCUUGAAUACUGUGUUUAAAAAAAUAUAUAUUAAAAAAAUUGUAACGCUACAUAAUGUGGCAAUGCUUAGGAUAGGUAAAUCUAGAAUGUAUCGAUCGUUUAAAACUAUAUUAAAUGCGAGGAGAAAAUAUUAUGCAUGACUAAAAGUAAUCAAUGAUUUGUAUCGCGGGCACUAAUCAACUUGGGAAUUUGCGUUGAUCAUUAGAUCUGUGAUACUGAAAGGUUGAUAUUGUGGCGCUGUGAUAUAAGGUAGUAAUACGUUUUACAGGUCUUGAAUAACAGGGGAUGGUUGUUGACAUCACCCUGAGCACAUUGUUUUGAUAAAAAGAAUGUACGAUGUUGAUCAACAGCCUGAAAUCCAGGCUGUUUGCGCUAUCAUUCUACUAUCAUUCUACUAUCAUUAGACUAUCAUCGACUAUCAUUCUACUAUCAUUUGACUAUCAUUCUACUAUCAUUUGACUAUCAUUCUACUAUCAUUCUAAUGUCAAGGAGUGGAAUGAUGGCCCAAAAGACUGGAUUUCAGGCUGUUGAUCCAAGUAUUACUUGUAAACAAACAGAAUGAGUUGACUGUGCGUUGUGGUGUGACUAUGCACUCCAGCGAGAGGCCCUGGGGCAUGCUGGAGCAACGGAGUCUCCCGUCUCGGUUGUGGAUUAACUGAAGAAAUCUGCAUCAGAAAUGUAGCAAUAAAAAGCAGCAUGGUGCCAAUGACAGGAAUGACUGGACUGGUUUGUGUGGCAUUACAACUCACACCUUCUCCCAUAUCUUCAUUCCUGAGUCCAAUUCUCUACCAAGGUCUGGACUCUUCAUCACAGUAAGAUAAUGCGCCUCUCAAGGAUAGCAGGGCUUUCCGUGGUGACGUCUAGCGCCUCUCAAGGAUAGCAGGGCUUUCCAUGGUGACGUCUAGCGCCUCUCAAGGAUAGCAGGGCUUUCCAUGGUGACGUCUAGCGCCUCAAGGAUAGCAGGGCUUUCCAUG
ensembl:lncRNA